rnacentral:rRNA from 1 species
UACGUAGGGUGCGAGCGUUAAUCGGAAUUACUGGGCGUAAAGUGUGCGUAGGUGGCCGCGCAAGUCGAGUGUGAAAUCCCCGAGCUUAACUUGGGAAUUGCGCUCGAAACUACGUGGCUCGAGUGAGGAAGAGGAAAGUGGAAUUCCGCGUGUAGUGGUGAAAUGCGUAGAGAUGCGGAGGAACACCAGUGGCGAAAGCGGCUUUCUGGUCCAAUACUGACGCUGAGACGCGAAAGCGUGGGGAGCAAACAGG